rnacentral:tRNA from 1 species
GCUAUGUUAGUUUAAGUAAGAAUUUGUAACUUGUAAUUACAAGGUAGGGAUUAGCAU